GAUGAAGAACGUAGCGAAAUGCGAUAAGUAAUGUGAAUUGCAGAAUUCAGUGAAUCAUCGAAUCUUUGAACGCACAUUGCGCCCGCUAGUAUUCUGGCGGGCAUGCCUGUCCGAGCGUCAUUUCAACCCUCAAGCCCCCGGGCUUGGUGUUGGGGAUCGGCGAGCCUCCGCGCCCGCCGUCCCCUAAAUCUAGUGGCGGUCUCGCUGUAGCUUCCUCUGCGUAGUAGCACACCUCGCACUGGGAAACAGCGCGGCCACGCCGUUAAACCCCCAACUUCUGAACGUUUGACCUCGGAACAGGUAGGAAUACCCGCUGAACUUAAGCAUAUCAAUAAGCGGAGGA
rnacentral:misc_RNA from 1 species